GACGAACGCUGGCGGCGUGCCUAAUACAUGCAAGUAGAACGCACAGUUUAUACCGUAGCUUGCUACACCAUAGACUGUGAGUUGCGAACGGGUGAGUAACGCGUAGGUAACCUGCCUGGUAGCGGGGGAUAACUAUUGGCAACGAUAGCUAAUACCGCAUAAUAUUGAUUAUUGCAUGCUAAUUGAUUGAACGAUGCUAUUGCAUCACUACCAGAUGGACCUGCGUUGUAUUAGCUAGUAGGUGAGGUAACGGCUCACCUAGGCGACGAUACAUAGACGACGUUUGAGGGUGAUCGGCCACACUGAGACCGAGACACGGCCCAGACUCCUUCGGGAGGCAGCAGUAGGGAAUCUUCGGCAAUGGACGAGAGUCUGACCGAGCAACGCCGCGUGAGUGUAGAAGGUUUUCGGAUCGUAAAGCUCGGUUGUAAGAGAAGAACGGGUGUGAGAGUGGAAAGUUCACACUGUGACGGUAUCUUACCAGAAAGGGACGGCUAACUACGUG
rnacentral:rRNA from 1 species